UUUUGGUGUUUGGUGCUGAGUACCUUCAGGCAGUGUAUUGCAUCCCUGAGAGUGGAAUGACUCCUUGUGGAGUUGGUCCUAGUCUAGGUGCGAACAAUUUUCAUGUUA
rnacentral:miRNA from 14 species